AAGAAAGACUUCAGCGACAAGAUCGGACGUAAAGCACGGAAGUACUGAGUUCGAACCCGACCGUAAACAGAAGGGAUUUUAAAAGCUCUUCCUUCUGUCUCAGAAACUCAGGUCUCAUCAUCUUGAAGGAGAAGAAGAGUUGUCAUGUCUCUCCACUACCUAUCGCUGAUGUGCGCACCAGCUUCUCUAACCCGCGCAUGCGUCGGCGGUAACUGGAAGCGCCAGAUCACUCGCUAAACUGGUGAAGAGAUUUAGCAGUUCAAGAUUAAGAGAAUGAGCGCGUCAUCAUGUGUGGGGGAGUACAGAGUAACAGAGCACAUGAGAUUCUACUUCGAUUCUAAUGACGUAACAACGGCUACUUCUAGAAUAAAUAAUUUAAGUAAUUCGUCCGAAAAUACUGAUGUCUAUCCAAAUGUCAUCUGUCUCGUUAAAUAUUUUCAGACUUGUUUAUACAUGUUGUAAUCAUAAUACUAUAGUAUCAGUUAAGCGAAUAAGCAGACGACAAGCAUGACUUGUUCGUAAGAAGCAGUGUCUAUUAAAUGUACAAAAGGCAUUAAUCAUUCUGGUUCUUUUCCGUUUUUUUUUUCUUUGUAUUCUUAGCUAUUCGGAAUUUGUAUGAAUCAGUG